AGCGGCCCGGGCCCCUCUGGCGAUAUGCGAUAUCGUGAUGUCGGACCG
rnacentral:ncRNA from 1 species